rnacentral:rRNA from 1 species
UACAGAGGUCUCAACCGUUGUUCGGAUUCAUUGGGCGUAAAGGGCGCGUAGGCUGCGGGGUAAGUCGGGUGUGAAAUCUCAGAGCUCAACUCUGAAACUGCACUCGAUACUGCUUUGCUUGAGGACUGGAGAGGAGAUUGGAAUUCACGGUGUAGCAGUGAAAUGCGUAGAUAUCGUGAGGAAGACCAGUGGCGAAGGCGGCACUCUGGGCCGGUACUGACGCUGAGGAGCGAAAGCGUGGGGAGCGAACAGG